UCCACUGGAAAGUAGGUAAUGGGGAGUCCAUUAAUCUUUGGCAUGAUGCCCGGAUCAUAAACUCAAGCCCCCUUCGAUCCCUCAUACAGGGGUCUUUGCCUCUCAAUGAAAUAAAUCUUCCCUAAGUUCUAUUCUAGAGGAGGACUCCUUCAAUAUAAAUACCCUCUCUUUUGAACUAUCAGAAACCAUUAGUAAACAAUUUUUUAGCACAUAUGUUAAACAAAUUGAGCCAGCAGUAGAUAAAUUUACUUGGGAAGAGGGAUCUAAUGGAUCUUUCUCGGCGAAGGCUGCUUACAAAAUUGUCAAAGUCCAGUCCAAAGAAGAAGGAUACUGAACUGACUUUUCUGGCUAUGGAAGCUAGACACCCUAAAAAAUAUCAAGCCCUUCUUAUGGACAGUUGUCCAUAUUAGGGUACCCACCUCCAAAAUAUUAUACAGUAGGAAAAUCAUUAACUCCAGCAUUUGCAAUAUUUGCCAAUAUGAAAAAGAAGACAUGGAACAUAUGUUCUUCAACUGGCGACACUCAAAACCUAUUUAGGAUCAAUUGAGAAGCUUUUAAAAAUAUUCUGAUCAGUCACGCAAUGAGCUCACUAUGCAUAACUGGUUAAAACUUCUUUGCCAGACAAGUUUUUCUUUUAACAGAUACUUAACUAAGGUAGAUAUCCUUCCCUUUACCCCUUGGCAUAUAUGGAUACACAGAAAUAAUUUCAUUUUUAAUAAUAAUAAAUCUCCUCUCUCCUUAAAACACAUCGUUUAAAG
rnacentral:lncRNA from 1 species